rnacentral:rRNA from 1 species
UUUUAUGGAGAGUUUGAUCCUGGCUCAGGAUGAACGCUGGCGGCGUGCCUAAUACAUGCAAGUCGAGCGAACGGACGAGAAGCUUGCUUCUCUGAUGUUAGCGGCGGACGGGUGAGUAACACGUGGAUAACCUACCUAUAAGACUGGGAUAACUUCGGGAAACCGGAGCUAAUACCGGAUAAUAUUUUGAACCGCAUGGUUCAAAAGUAAAAGACGGUCUUGCUGUCACUUAUAGAUGGAUCCGCGCUGCAUUAGCUAGUUGGUAAGGUAACGGCUUACCAAGGCAACGAUGCAUAGCCGACCUGAGAGGGUGAUCGGCCAAACUGGAACUGAGACACGGUCCAGACUCCUACGGGAGGCAGCAGUAGGGAAUCUUCCGCAAUGGGCGAAAGCCUGACGGAGCAACGCCGC